UAAAACCCCUUGGCAGGCCCGGGUAUCGCCGAUGAUUUCCCGAAUCGAUUUGAUUCUGAUUUACAAGGUCCCGAUUUGAUUAUAUUUCCGAUUUGAUUUGACAUCAAUUAGGGAAAUUUCAGUUACAAUACCAACUUUGCUUGGAUAUAAAAAGAAAUCCUCAGAGACAUUUGGCUGUUAAUUGUAAAAGCAAGAAGCAACCCUUAA